rnacentral:lncRNA from 1 species
CUUUCCUUACGCGAGGUGACGGCAUUAUUUUUAAUUCUUUGGUUAGCACAGAGCAUAACCUACAUAUUCGCCUCGUCUCGUUUGAAUCCUUGAUGCUUUUUUUUUUUUUUUUUUUGUGAUUGUCUCUGUUUAGGACAAAGAAGCAAAUUCGAGAUGCUGAGCGAGACAGAGAAGGGAAGGAGAAGGUAGAAAGGGAUUUAUCUGCUGGGGUGCCGGGAAACGACAGAGAACAGUUAGCUUCGAGGAAGCAAACAUCAUUUCCAAGGUUUCACUGGAUGGAGGUAGUACCCCGUCUUUCAGUUCUCUGCUCCCUGACCUGGCUCUGCGGAAGAGCAUGAGGCGCCCUCUCAGGUUCCCUCGGGGAUGGGAAACGAGGCCCAUCUCAACUCCUGUCCUCCACACACACCAGCUCCCCCAGGAGGGGCACCCGUAGAAUCUGUAUUCGGGCAUCACCCCAUUCGUUCAGCAAUAUCUGCUGGAGUCAGGGAGCAAAGGAUGACAGACACACCUGCCCGGAGAUGAGGGAUGUGCCAGGCGGCCGGUCCCUGGAGGCAUCCCAUGCUGCUGGGCUUCUUCAUGUCCCGCUUGGGUUCCAUCAGGUUCUAUUUGAAGAUUUUUUAAA